CAGUAGCCGCGGUAAUACGAGGGGGGCAAGCGUUGUUCGGAAUUAUUGGGCGUAAAGGGUGCGUAGGCGGUUUGGCAAGUUUGAUGUGAAAUCCCCGGGCUCAACCUGGGAAUGGCAAUGGAUACUGGCGAGCUAGAGUGUGUCAGAGGAUGGUGGAAUUCCCGGUGUAGCGGUGAAAUGCGUAGAGAUCGGGAGGAACAUCAGUGGCGAAGGCGGCCACCUGGGACAACACUGACGCUGAGGUACGAAAGCGUGGGGAGCAAACAGGAUUAGAUACCCCUGUAGUCCCUGUCUCUUAUAC
rnacentral:rRNA from 1 species